UGCCCCCAGAGCAGCUGGAUCCCGUGCCUCCAGCUGGACCAGAGAGCAGGGGGUUCCCAGGCAGCCAGACGAGGUGCCCCGUCUCACCUCUGAAGAUCCAAGAGGGUCUGGUCUCUGCGGACCCCCUCCUGACGAGGAAGAGGGAGAAAGGGGGGCUUUGAGCACCUCUGGGCGGGCAGCUGCCCCCUUUGAUGAGCCAGAAUUAGAACUAGCUUUCUGACUGGGCCCCUCUGCAAGAGGCCUGGUCUUGGCUGCUGGACCCUGGGUCCCUCCUCGGACGCAGCCUCCAUCCCGGCUACAGGGAUGUGCGAGUUCCCUGCUGAGCAGGUGCAGAGAGCCGCUUCUGUGCAGGAGCGCGAGCGAACCUGGCCCUGGACUCACCUCUCGGUUCCCUCAGCCGCAACAUGUGCCUCAGAGGAGGACUCUCGGAAACAGCGCGGGCACCCCACGAGAUGACAGCACGGCAGCUGUGGCUGCAGGGGUGACCUUCGUUCAGGGAAACUGGAUGGUUUGUCAGGGAUGUCCUGAAGAUGGUUUCCCCGUGACACCUCUGGUGGGCCACGGCGAUGCUGUGACUCGCUCGCUCGGGUCCUGAGCACUUACUGAUGGCCACGUCCCGAUGCCCUCCCUUGAUUGUGACUCCAUCACUCCGUGGGAACAGACGAGAGCGUGGCUGCUUCACUGCUCCAUGCUGUCAACCCUCCGCCUCCUACCCUGCCCAAGACAGGAAGGCCAAAGUCCGGCCCUGAGCCACCACCAAGGAAUGUGGUGGGACUGACCACAGGGAGGGUUAGGGACAUGAUAAUAGGAGGUGGACGAGAGAGGGAUGGGCCAACUGGAAAGGGGCCUGACCUUCUCAGAGAUCGCGGAGGCCAGAGGCCACCUCUGGCAACGCAGCCCCCGACCCCACGGGGCCCUGGGCGCCCGGCACCCACAGCCCCGAGGCCCACGGCUGCAGGGGGCCAAGCGUGGCCGAGCUGCCCAGCCGGAGCUGCAGCCUUUGCACUCAAGGGGCAGUGCCCAGCGAGGGGCCAGCAGUGUCCCUGUGGUCCUGCAGAUGUGAGAAGGGAGCCCGACGCCCAGGUGGCGAGCAGAGAGGAAACAGCAGGUCGAUGAAGCCAGUCUUAAGUGUGAUCUCCAUUCCUGCCCAGCGCUCUGGCGCAAGCCCAGGAGAGUCUCCCAGCUCUGGGAUCCAGAAUGACUCCCAGUGGGAGGUGGUUCUUCUGUUGACCUGGCUCCCUUGGUGGUCUGAGGUUGUCACCCUCAGGGCUGAAUUUGUGAGCAGUGUGUGUGUGUGUGUGUGUGUGUGUGUGCGCACAUGCUCAACUGGAGACCCACAGGAUUUCAGCUCUUCUGAGGCACCUAGAAGCUGACACACUGGGUAGUGAGACGAGCAGCCGAGUGAGAAUGUAACAAACGUUGUAUGAAAGAAAUCGACUUUGUUACCUACUGGCUGGAGGGAGGGACGACUGUGUUGUCUGGAAGUGUUAGGUUCAUUUUAUAUUUGUGUCGGGAGAAAUGUUCAACUCUGGUGCAGACACUGGUGGCAGCCAGACCACGCUUGACUCCCUGGGUUGAAAUUGAGAGAAAGCUUAUAGGAUCAGACAGAUACGCUUUUCUUUGGUGGGUGCAGGGUUUCUGCUGGGCACUGCGCUAUUAAUCAGCCCCUGUCCAAGAAGAACUCAUCCUUUCUGUUGUCAUUAAAGGUCAGUUACUUAUUCAUGUGGACAAGACUUGGGGCCAGUUGACUGCUUCCCUAGCUGAGGCUGAUGUCAGGGUUUUCAUCUCAAGUCUGAAAUCUUGUUUAACCUUCCAUCCAUAGUUUUGUCUCGUUCUGAUGACUGCAUCCUCUUGGCACAUUUGUUGUACUCAGAACCGAAUGGCAAACAAUAGUCUUGCAUUAAUAAAAGCCACCACGGAGCUCUGGGUGAGCUUCCA
rnacentral:lncRNA from 1 species